ensembl:lncRNA
CCUGCAUCAAGCCCUGCAUCAAGCCCUGCAUCAAGCCCUGCAUCAAGCCCUGCAUCAAGUCCUGCAUCAAGCCCUGCAUCAAGCCCUGCAUCAAGCCUUGCAUCAAGCCCUGCAUCAAGUCCUGCAUCAAGCCCUGCAUCAAGUCCUGCCCACAGUACAUUAAGGAGGAACACUGAAAGGCAGGAGCCCUAGCGGUUAAGAGUGUUGGGCCAGUAACCGAAAGGUCGCUGGCUCGAAUUGUUGUCCAGAGUUGUCCAGGGUCGCCAUCAUUAAUGGCUGAUAUCCCAGGCCUUGACCACACUCUGAGGCUGUGUCUCAGGGGGAGUUGUCCAGGGUCGCCAUCAUUAAUGGCUGAUAUCCCAGGCCUUGACCACACUCUGAGGCUGUGUCUCAGGGGGAGUUGUCCAGGGUCGCCAUCAUUAAUGGCUGAUAUCCCAGGCCUUGACCACACACUCUGAGGCUGUGUCUCAGGGGGAGUUGUCCAGGGUCACCAUCAUUAAUGGCUGAUAUCCCAGGCCUUGACCACUCUCCGAGGCUGUGUCUCAGGGGGAGUUGGGAUGUGCAAAAAAUAAAUUUCCAAUUCACAUGUGUAAUAAUACAGUCUUGUACAUGUGUGAAAUAGAAUAAAUAAACCCCCACCUAAUUAUUCUUAUUAAUAAGAUUGAAGAGCAACGGCACUUUGGUACACAGUCAAUAGGUUACAUAGCUGAGGGGAUGGAUACGAAGCAGAACAGUAGCUCUCUGCUUCCCCUCCUAUCAGAGAGAAUAAAUCAUUCCAACCACACUGAUAACAGAAAGCCUGUGGUCUUGCUCUCUGGUUUCAAACAAACCCCUCCAGUAUUCACAUAACGGACAGCUUUCUUCCAAAAUGAUAAUACACACAGAAAGUCCAGUUGUAUAAACUCUACUCUGAAUGUUUUGUAUUUUUAUAUAAAGGCCCAGUGCAGUCAAAAACGUGAAUUUCCUGUGUUUUACCAUCCAGUUUAAUAGGUACAACACCAUGUUCACAAAAGUGGAUCACAACGGCAGCAGACACAACGGGCAGCAGACACAAGGGGCAGCAGACACAACGGCAGCAGACACAACGGGCAGCAGACACAAGGGGCAGCAGACACAACGGCAGCAGACACAACGGGCAGCAGACACAACGGCAGCAGACACAACGGGCAGCAGACACAACGGCAGCAGACACAACGGGCAGCAGACACAAGGGGCAGCAGACACAACGGCAGCAGACACAACGGGCAGCAGACACAACGGGCAGCAGACACAACGGGCAGCAGACACAACGGGCAGCAGACACAACGGCAGCAGACACAACGGGCAGCAGACACAAGGGGCAGCAGACACAACGGCAGCAGACACAACGGGCAGCAGACACAACGGGCAGCAGACACAACGGGCAGCAGACACAACGGGCAGCAGACACAACGGCAGCAGACACAAGGGGCAGCAGACACAACGGGCAGCAGACACAACGGGCAGCAGACACAACGGCAGCAGACACAACGGGCAGCAGACACAACGGCAGCAGACACAACGGGCAGCAGACACAACGGGCAGCAGACACAACGGCAGCAGACACAAGGGGCAGCAGACACAACGGGCAGCAGACACAACGGCAGCAGACACAAGGGGCAGCAGACACAACGGCAGCAGACACAACGGGCAGCAGACACAACGGGCAGCAGACACAACGGGCAGCAGACACACGGGCAGCAGACACAACGGGCAGCAGACAACGGGCAGCAGACAACGGGCAGCAGACACAACGGGCAGCAGACACAAGGG